CUUCCUCUCUUCUCCGCCGUGGUGCCUCCAUUGGCGAUUUUGACAGUGAACUGAGCAGAGCUUCGAUCUCUUCUGUUCUUCCUCUUCGUUGGUGGUCUUCAAGGAGAAUCCGAACUCUUCUGUUCUUAUUCCUCUUCAAUCUCUUCUGUUCUUCCUCUUUGUUGGUGGUCUUCAAGGAGAAUCCUGUUUCUUAUGUAGAAAAUCAUCAAACUUUUCGUCUCUAAAUUUGUUUUCUUCCUCCUCCUCCUCCUCGUUCUCAGACAUGGAUCAGAAAGGACCAUUAUUCUCUGACACUGGCAUUGGCCAGGGCCACACAAGGGCGUGGAAGAUGUGUGGCCUUGAUAAUAGUAUUUUUAUAUGUGUGGUUUUUGAAAUUGCUAAAAGGGAGAUAGCUGAUGUCGCUUUGCAGUGGCAGAUCAAUCAGUUCUACUUCCAGUUUUUAACAUAUUAAAAUUGCAAGUUAUGGACAGAGAGGUGGAGACACUUUGUACUCAUGAAAUUUAUGUUUCUGUAGUUAUCAA